GACGAACGCUGGCGGCGUGCUUAACACAUGCAAGUCGAGCGGCGCGGCGAACGGGUGAGUAACGCGUGAGUAACUGCCCCCCUCUCUGGGAUAACAUUUGGAAACGGCUGCUAAUACCGGAUAGUGGGGGAUGACUCGCGUCCUAUCAGCUUGUUGGUGGGGUAGUGGCCUACCAAGGCGACGACGGGUAGCCGGCCGGAGAGGGCGACCGGCCACAUAGGGAGGAGAUACGGGCCAAACACCUACGGGGGGCAGCAGUGGGGAAUAUAGCACAAUGGGGGAAAACCUGAGGCAGCAACGCCGCGUGCGGGAUGACGGCCUGCGGGUUGUAAACCGCUUUCAGCCAUGACGCGGUAGUGGCAGAAUAAGCACCGGCUAACUACGUGCCAGCAGCCGCGGUAAUAC
rnacentral:rRNA from 1 species